AAUUUUUUUCCACCACCACGUAAAAUUUCUUUCCUUCCCUUUUUUUUUUCUACCACCAUGUCCCUUUAGGGGCUCCGUAGUUUAUAAUACUUAUAAUGUGAUAAAAUACAGCAAAAUCUGCAUGACAAAAUACUACCUCUCAGUAUUUGAGCAAGAAGUCACUUCAAUAUUCCAGAAUACUGUUUUUGUUAAGAACAUAAAAAUGCCUGAAGAAAGAUUUUUUUUUUUUGAUGCAAUAUCAAUGCAAGUUUACUUUCAAGUUUACAUUUUUGUCUACAGCAUAAAUUACACACAGUAGUACCUCAAACGUAUAUGGCAUCUGUUAUCAAAUGGCUUACAAAUUGAUAUCAUGACUGAAGGGCUCUAUUCUGCCUAAGCUUGAAAAAAUUUAAAACCUGGGAUAUCAAAUUUUGGACAUCCCCCUUUUAUUUAACAUUUUAGGUUUGUUUUGUUUUGUUUUCUUUUGUACUAUCCUAAAUUAACUUCAAAGUAAUGUCAUCAUCUUCCUUAUUUGAGGUUAGUUAUUUCUUGUGUUUUUUUUAAAAGCCUUUCAUAGCUUUACUCUGCCUCCUUGUGGUGAAGACACUGAAUUGUUGACACAGUGAACAAAUUCGCAAAUACAGAUGAGAUGAAAUGUAUUAGUACUGACAGUAUACUGACAGUAUAGACUUAGUACUCUUUUUUUCUAUAUUCGUUUUUAUUACAUUUAGUGCUCACCUGAUGGUCCCUUUCUUUGUAAAUUUCCAAUAAAUCAUCUAGAAAAAUAAUAAUAAAAUAACCUCCCCUCAUUUUGUUCAUUCAUAACAGACAAAAUGUUAAAUAUAAAAGCAUACAAUAAAUUCAAAAUAACAAAAGCAAUCAAUUCACUGUGUGCUACAAAACAUUUCUGUGACUGUUAAAAUGUAUUAAUUAAUUCAGAAUGUUUUAUGAAUUUUUGAGGUCAGUGAUCCAGUUUUUUCCUUGCCAGGAUAGAGCUUUCCUUUUUUCCUUUUAUCAUUUCAUAAACCAACUAAAUAUUAUGUGGUUUUGACUUACACAUAAGUUUUCUUCUAUUUAUUUUGGCUUUUCUCCCACAGUUUGUAAUCAUUGCUUUUAAGUGUGAACACACCAGCUGUUGAAUUUUCAAGUGAAGGUUACUCUUAUUUAUCCGUCUGCUGUAGGAAGAUGAAUUACGCUUUCUGACAAAAGUUUUCAUGUAUUUGAUGCAAAAGAAUGAAAUUCCUGUUUUAGUGAGGUAGUUAUUUUAGUGAGGAUGUGUCUGUACAUGAUUUACAGUACGUAGAUCAUAAAGUGUCAUACACCCUACUGUGACCACAGGUUAAAUUUAGGCGUGAGAAUAGGUUCUGAAUACUGACAUUCAGAAAUGAACAGAGGGAAGAAUUAGUGGCAUUAACAAAUCAAACAAGUGUGGCUGUAACAAUAAUAAUGACUGGCCUGAUGAGAGUCAGAGCACAUUCAACUACUUCAUUACACCAAGAUUCACUGAGAAUAAAUAUGAAAAAAGAGGCGGUCGAGGCUAGUUACACGAAAUUUCUUUAUAGAUAUAUACCCUAAAGUGUCAGCUACAAAAAGCUAUUAAACAUCUUUACCAUUAUUGCCCUAGAAAAAAAGUCACUGAAUCCAUGCACAGACAUUUUGUGACAUGUUUAUGCUAGUGUUAAAGCCAUGUUCAUCGCUUACCUAACAGCUAUUGAGAAAAGAAAUAAAAGAUUGUUAUUUUAGUUUGGAAGACAACAUUCACAAAAAAUAUUCUAAUCUAAGAUGAUUUUGAAUUGUGUGUUUGAAACCAACAAAACACUGGUAGAGAAAGCACAUUUGUGGAAUUAGACUUUUGACUCAAAAUAUACUUACUGAAAUUCAACCCUUUUCACAGAUCCCCUUUUGUGACAACUAGCCCCAUCCUCAUAUAUAAUUGAUUAACAGAGGAUGCACUGAUUGAUUGAUUUACUCGUUGAUUGAAUUAGCACAUUUGCUAGAGUAAUGGCCUAUUUGAUUGUCUUUGGAGGAUUUAAAAUAAAUAAAUUAAAACGCACAUAGCCUACUUAUAAGAGCAUGCCACAGAAAACAGACAUAGGCUACACUGUAACAAAUUGCUGUAGUUUUUACAGCAAAAUUCUACAGAAACUAGCUGUUUUACCAUUUUACAGGUUAUUACUGUAUUUUGCAAUGCAUUAUGGGUCAAAAAGAGUAUUACAGUUGUUAACAGUAUUUUUCCAGGUCAACUGUAAAUUAAUUUACAGUUAAGAGGUGUUUUCGCUGUAGCUCAUAUGUUUUUACAUCAAAUUACUGUGAUGUGGCAUUAUGGGACUGCGCGGGCUGAAUAACGUUACGUUUGAAAACUGUGGACUGGAGCAGGACAUGAACCAUUGAAGAUAAAAGGCAUUAUCAUAACUUUUGAGAGGGUGAGAAUCGUGACGGAGCGCCCAUUAGCCUACAGUGGAGAGACGAAGCUGAACUACGAUGUUAUGUGAGAAUCAACCCAUCUACGAGUAGCAAGACAGCCACAACAAAAGUUGGCGUCAAAAAAAGUGGAAAGGCCUCAGAGAAGAGGAACCACACCAUUAACCCUCAUGUGUUUACACUUCUCAAAAGAUUAAUGGACUUUGAGUGGUUAAGAUGAUGUCUACAAAAUGACACUUUGUUUUUAAUUUAUAUUCUAACAAUUUCGAUCUUGUGUAUGUUGUUUAUCUUGUCUUUGUUCACUGCAAAAAGUGUUCAACAUACACAAAAAAGGGUUUAAAAAUACUUUAGAUUAAAACGGUUUAUAUGUUUUAGAUAGAAUGCUGUCAUUUGUGUUUGACAACAUAUAUAACAGAAGAAAAAAAAAGAAAAGGAAAAAAAAGCAGAAAUGUGAGACUAAAAGGAGUCUUGGUACCAUACUUGUUUUGGUACCAUAACGCCAUUUUUGUUGAUGUUACCAAUGAAAGUCUUGCAGUAAUUUGCUGUUAAUUUCAAUAAAUAUUUUUCUUACAACAGCUUGGUUUGAUUAUUUUUUAGAUGUUUAUUUUAAUGCAUUUACAUCAAUAUAAUGGUAAAUAAUAGAGUACAGUUUACUGUUAAAAU